UCCGUAGGCGGGCAAUUAAGUCAGAGGUGAAAUCCCACAGCUCAACUGUGGAACUGCCUUUGAUACUGGUUGUCUUGAGUUAUAGUGAAGUAGAUAGAAUAUGUAGUGUAGCGGUGAAAUGCAUAGAUAUUACAUAGAAUACCGAUUGCGAAGGCAGUCUACUAACUAUAUACUGACGCUAAUGGACGAAAGCGUGGGGAGCGAACAGGAUUAGAUACCCUGGUAGUCC
rnacentral:rRNA from 1 species